UCCUCUGCAGAAAUGUUGUACUAGCUAGGGAAUUUAGGGUAGAAUAUUUCCUAGAUGCUAUUUUUUGGGCGCUCUAUAUAAAGAAAGCUUUCCCUCACUCUCAUACACAUCUUUCAGCCUUAAUUUCUACAAAAAAAUAAACUCUAAAAACACAAUCAGAUUUUUAGAACCAAAAAGAGCAUUUCAAAAGCUUUCAGCUAUUGUUUCAUUAGUGGCUAGUUUUAUUCAGAUUCUUUGAGCAAAAUUCGAGAAAAGUUUCUUCUAUGGAAUUUCUGGUUUUUCAUAUUCAAGUCUUAGGUACAUCUUCAAAUCUUUGGAAUAGAAGUGAAUGUAAUGGUGUUUGUAGCCUUAGAGCUGAUGUAUAAAUGUUAAAUGGAGUUUGGCACUCAAAUGUUUAAAUUUUAGUUUUCACUUAAAGUCUGAUUUUCUUCCCAGCAGUUUAAUAUUUGAGGAUCUUAUUAGUUUUGCUAUUUUCAUUUAAAUAUUUCUGAUUUGCAUGUUGAUUAGCAGUUUCUUUUCUCUAGUUGGGAUUUUCACAUAUGAGUGUUUAAGUUGGUUCAUUUCUUCUAUAAUGACAACUCUAAUUAGAUAUUUCAUUAGAAGGUAUUAGUUGGUGUUUUACUCAUGCUUGAAAGAUGCAUUAUUACUUCAGCUGAAUAGUUUUAGAUUUCAAAAUCGUUAAAUAGGUCAUGUAUGUAUAGCUGCUGAAUAAGUUAAAGCAUGUUUUAAGUUUAUGAGUCGUUGUUUAGGGCAUGACAAAUGAACUAGAAGCCUAUAAUCUGAUUGUUAAAUGCAUGUUUGGUUUUCCAAAUUCUCAUUAGUUUAUCUUAUUGUUAUUUGCGAAUUAAGGGGUGUGGGUUUUCAGUCAUGGCUCGUUAGAGUUCCCUUUAACAAGCUGGGCUUAAUUCUGGCCCCACAAGCUGGCCUGCCUAUUAUGAGCCCAGAUUGACUAGAUCCGGCCUUCUGCCAUUUUGGGCUCAAUUUCAAGCCCAACAGGAUCCAACCUUGACUUAUCUCUUUUCCAUAUCCCCCCCCCCCAAUUAAAUACAAAUGUAUGCUUUAUGGGAUGGCUUUGGUGUAAAAAAUGUAUGGGGUAGCCAUUUUUUAAAGUGGUGUUUACUUUUAUCCAGUAUUUUUAAUGCUUAGCAAUAGUAGCCACUAGUCUAUUAAAAUUAAUAAAGAUUGUGUUACCCUUUUUUCUAUUUCUUUUCCUUCCCAAACCCUCUAUCAAGUCUGGGUAUACCAGUAAUGGAGAUAAUGUCAAGUUCCCUUAUUGAAGAAUCUCGGACAAGCAUGACAGUUUCAGACGACACUGGAUCCACUUCAGCUACGACAAAUACUACUUCAAAUGAUUCAUUGGCAAUUAGUACUUCCAAUAGUUCAAAGGAAACACUGAAUGCAAAAUCAAUUGGGAAUUUAUGGAAGAGCUUUUGUUCUAUUAUUUUAAUUUGAACGAUAAGAAAUCGUACAAAUAUAAAGUAUCUAUCAAUUAUGAUUCCCAAUUUUGCUGUUAAUAAUGAUUUCGAUAGUUGUAAUCUU